CCUACGGGGAGCAGCAGUCGAGAAUCAUUCACAAUGGGGGAAACCCUGAUGGUGCGACGCCGCGUGGGGGAAUGAAGGUCUUCGGAUUGUAAACCCCUGUCAUGUGGGAGCAAAUUAAAAAGAUAGUACCACAAGAGGAAGAGACGGCUAACUCUGUGCCAGCAGCCGCGGUAAUACAGAGGUCUCAAGCGUUGUUCGGAAUCACUGGGCGUAAAGCGUGCGUAGGCUGUUUCGUAAGUCGUGUGUGAAAGGCGCGGGCUCAACCCGCGGACGGCACAUGAUACUGCGAGACCAGAGUAAUGGAGGGGGAACCGGAAUUCUCGGUGUAGCAGUGAAAUGCGGAGAUAUCGAGAGGAACACUCGUGGCGAAGGCGGGUUCCUGGACAUUAACUGACGCUGAGGCACGAAGGCCAGGGGAGCGAAAGGGAUUAGAUACCCCAGUAGUC
rnacentral:rRNA from 1 species